rnacentral:rRNA from 10 species
AACCGACACAGGUGGUCAGGUAGAGAAUACCAAGGCGCUUGAGAGAACUCGGGUGAAGGAACUAGGCAAAAUGGUGCCGUAACUUCGGGAGAAGGCACGCUGACACGUAGGUGAAGUGAUUUACUCAUGGAGCUGAAGUCAGUCGAAGAUACCAGCUGGCUGCAACUGUUUAUUAAAAACACAGCACUGUGCAAACACGAAAGUGGACGUAUACGGUGUGACGCCUGCCCGGU